rnacentral:lncRNA from 1 species
UUUAUAGCUUCCUGUUUGGUCUGUAUCAAAGCCCUGUGUAAAUGGCCGUACUCGACCUGUGUUUGUUAUUAUCAGGUUGAGAACAACCCUCCCUCAGACAAGGGGUCAUUUUACUGAUGUAGAAAAGAAAAUAGAAAUACCAAGGAUUUGUAUAGUUCUUCUAUACAAAACCUUUGAACACUUAGAAUUUUGUACUCAAAAAGAGGAGCGUUGCAUCAUAUUUUAAACAAAUUUUUCUUAAAGAGGGG